rnacentral:rRNA from 1 species
UGGUGGUGCGAGCUGUCUGGUUGAUUCCGUUAACGAACGAGACCUUUGUAGCAUAAUACUGGAUCGAAGGUAUUGUGUAAAGGGAGGUGGUUGCAGUUUGGGAACGGGUUCGUCCCCCCCUUACUGUUCAGGCGCCUCUUGCAACCUUGGAUACCAGUUCUUUGCUAGACAAAUGAGGAAAACUCAUUGGAAGUUGGAGGCAAAAACA